CAGUCGCCACGGGAAUACGUAGGUGGCAAGCGUUGUCCGGAAUUAUUGGGCGUAAAGGGCUCGCAGGCGGUUUCUUAAGUCUGAUGUGAAAGCCCCCGGCUCAACCGGGGAGGGUCAUUGGAAACUGGGAAACUUGAGUGCAGAAGAGGAGAGUGGAAUUCCACGUGUAGCGGUGAAAUGCGUAGAGAUGUGGAGGAACACCAGUGGCGAAGGCGACUCUCUGGUCUGUAACUGACGCUGAGGAGCGAAAGCGUGGGGAGCGAACAGGAUUAGAUACCCCCGUAGUCCCUGUCUCUUAUAC
rnacentral:rRNA from 1 species